GUGGGGAAUAUUGGACAAUGGGCGAAAGCCUGAUCCAGCCAUGCCGCGUGUGUGAAGAAGGUCUUCGGAUUGUAAAGCACUUUAAGUUGGGAGGAAGAGUAGUAACCUAAUACGUUGCUACUUUGACGUACCGACAGAAUAAGCACCGGCUAACUUCGUGCCAGCAGCCGCGGUAAUACGAAGGGUGCAAGCGUUAAUCGGAAUUACUGGGCGUAAAGCGCGCGUAGGUGGUUUUGUAAGUUGGAGGUGAAAUCCCCGGGCUCAACCUGGGAACUGCCUCCAAAACUGCAUGACUAGAGUACGGUAGAGGGUAGUGGAAUUUCCUGUGUAGCGGUGAAAUGCGUAGAUAUAGGAAGGAACACCAGUGGCGAAGGCGACUACCUGGACUGAUACUGACACUGAGGUGCGAAAGCGUGGGGAGCAAACAGGAUUAGAUACCCGGGUAGUCC
rnacentral:rRNA from 1 species